GACGAACGCUGGCGGCGUGCCUAAUACAUGCAAGUAGAACGCACAGUUUAUACCGUAGCUUGCUACACCAUAGACUGUGAGUUGCGAACGGGUGAGUAACGCGUAGGUAACCUGCCUGGUAGCGGGGGAUAACUAUUGGAAACGAUAGCUAAUACCGCAUAAUAUUAAUUAUUGCAUGAUAAUUAAUUGAAAGGUGCAAUUGCACCACUACCAGAUGGACCUGCGUUGUAUUAGCUAGUAGGUGAGGUAACGGCUCACCUAGGCGACGAUACAUAGCCGACCUGAGAGGAUGAUCGGCCACACUGGGACUGAGACACGGCCCAGACGCAUACGGGAGGCAGCAGUAGGGAAUCUUCGGCAAUGGACGAAAGUCUGACCGAGCAACGCCGCGUGAGUGAAGAAGGUUGUCGGAUCGGAAAGCUCUGUUGUAAGAGAAGAACGGGUGUGAGAGUGGAAAGUUCACACUGUGACGGUAUCUUACCAGAAAGGGACGGCUAACUACGUG
rnacentral:rRNA from 1 species